rnacentral:ncRNA from 12 species
GCGUUCGUCCUGUGCGGUAGCGGUAACGCCCGCAAAAUUAAUCCCUAAGAUUGUUUGACAGCAGGUAACGAACGCUU